rnacentral:tRNA from 1 species
GUCCCCAUCGUCUAGAGGCCUAGGACAUCACCCUUUCACGGUGAGUACACGAGUUCGAAUCUCGUUGGGGACGCCA